CCAUUUUUCACUUCUUUAUCUUUGCUUAAACUUAACCUUCUCAUAUUAUAAAGUUAAUCAAUCUGUUGAACUCUUAUGUUUAACAGACAAUCGAUUACUUCAAAAGAUAAUAGAUUGGAAAAUCUCUAUUUAACCAUUAUUUUGCUACUUUUGUUGAUCCAUCAUUUUUCAUUUCUUACUUUUAGUUACUGUGAAACUUAAUUUCCAUCAGAUUUUCAUUGUACACUCAGCGGUUUUCUCAAUUAGUUAAUUUUUCAUUCUUUCCUGUGUUCAAAGCUGGUAAACACCAUUGAUACUCUGUACUUAUGGUGGACUUGUUUCAAGUGUUCAAUAAUCCCGAACAUAAAUUCAUUCAGUGAACCUUCUGGAAAAUUGAUAAACAUAUGAAUGGUAAACUAAAGUGAAGAAGGUAGAAAUGAUUUCUGGAAAUAAUCGAGUUACAACAACAUGGCAAGUGGAUAUCGAAGAAGUUAUAUCUUGACUUAUUGUGAUUGUCAAGCGCUUUGAACCCCAACGUUUCUUCUUUCUAACCUGUCAAAGCACCGUUCUGGGAUAUCUAUUUGAAACCCAAUUAAAAGAAUUUCUUGUGUUUCAUUCAAGUGGUCAAAUUCUGGUCACAAUUGGGCAAUCUUUUGACUUUAACAAAUGUUUCAACUAUCCAUCUUCUAUAUCCUCUCUGUUCAGUUCAUUCCUCUUCAUACAGUUUGUUGUUUCUGGAUCAGUGCUUAGUGAAUAGCCAAAAUCUUCUGCAGCUUCAACUUCAACUUUCAACUCAACAUUUUUUGUGUCCUCCAACAAUUAUACUUCUUUUCUGUCGAUUUCUUCCCUUUCAGUUGACUCGUCAUUAAAAUGAGAGACUGUAGUCAUUGUUAACUGUUUUGUUUUCAUUACCUUAUCUUUGAAAAUGAAUAGAUUUGAUUUGGAAAAGACACAAAAAUUAUACAGCCUAAUGUUGAUUCUCGUGUUGAUAAGACAAAUAACAGAUUUUGACAAGUAAUUGUGACUUUGACAAUGACUGAUUAUUAUGAUUAUUUCAAAACUAUUAUUAUCAUCACUCAGGAAAUGAUAAUAUGUAAGUGUAUCAUCAAAGAAUACACAUAUUAUUAUUUCGUUAUCGAUAUUAAUGACAAAGUAAUAUCGAUUUUAUUCUAAAACCAAUGUUACACUGUCAAAUAAUAGUAGUAGUAAUAAUAAUCAUGGUAAUCAAAAGUGUUAUCGAUGUCUAUUCAAUGAAUUAUUGAUCACCAUUAUUAAUAUUAUGUUGAUGUUGAUGAAAAAGGUCUUCCAUGAGAAAUCAAAAUGAAUGAAAUAAAAUCACAAAAUGAUAAACAAACAACUAAGAAACCAUAAUGAAAACGGUAACCUGGAGUGAAGAGAGGGAAAAAAGUCAAGUUAGUCAAUGACUAUGGUCCAUGACCAUUAAACUUUUGACCAUCUAAAUUAUUAAUACAUUUUGAACCAUGUUGACCAACCAGAAUGACCCAUUUAAAAUUCAAUUAUGAGGCGAAAAUUUUCCAUUCUCAUAAAAUCCUUCGAUAAUUUGAUUGAUCAUUGGCAAACACCAUACACUGCAAAGUUGAAGUGUAAUCUCGUUAAUUUGCUAUAUCACCAGUUACUGUCCCUUGGUUUUUUGAUGAUCUUUCAAGUAAUCAAAGAAAAAAUUGUUACAUAUUAAUUUUACCCUGGACACUACGAUUGAUAUAUUUCUCUUCGAUUGUCCAUCAACCAGGAGAAUCACAAAAUCCAAUAUCCAGAGAUAAAACAAGGCUCAAUAUUAUUACGAUAAGUUGCUUACUCUUAAAGACAUCAACGUUGUGAUCAAGUUGAGCUUAAAGGAAACUUGAAAAAGUGUCAACUUCAAGUGAACCCAAAUUGUUGACAAUUGACAAUAAAAGCUCAAUUGUAUAUAUUAACAAAUAUUCAGUGCAUCACAAACGACAUUUAAUUCACUAAAUAUUUGUUUAUUUAUUUUAAUUCCCACUAUUUACCUGAAACUUCAGCUCUUUCAUGCAAAAAGUCUAAUGUUUAUUUUUUCUAUUCUUCCUCAGAUUUGUUUCUUUUAUCAUAUGGAUCAUUGUUUCAUGUGUAAAUUGCUUGAUUAAGAAUCAUGGUGGCAUCUUACUAGAACCUGCUAACUGACUCAACAACUGAACCAUCAAAUGAACAGAUGUACAACCAUUGAGUUUCAUUGUUUCCAAUUACUGCCAUUCAACGGGUUACAUACUGGAAGUGAAAAGAGCUGGUUAAAUAAUUAUGCAAAUUUACCUUGGUAUAUUUUUUAAUUAAAAUAAUUGACCCGAGUCAACUGCAGUCAGUUGAACCAAACUGAAUAAAUAUUAUAAAUAUGAAAAUCACGAAUAACGAUGAAAGUAAAUAUAAUAUUUAUCAUGCCAGUGAAUCAACAGCAACAAUGAAACCAAUUACCUUAAUAUGAUUACCUUUUUUGAGUUUAAUUGUCACUCGUAAACCUUUCCAACAGAGAGACUUAAAAUUUCAAUGUUUCCUUCCCAAUCAAUAGAUACAAUUUAAAACUCAGUACAAUCAUUGAAUUUACCGUAAUAACGACAUCAACUGUUAUUAAUCGUUUUUGCUUUACUCUUAUUUUAAUCGUAAGCUUAACCAAUAUUAUUUACAAUGAUUUAGUUAAUCAUAAUAAUGGGUUAAUGUAAAGGAAAGCAAAAACGAUGAUAAAAGAAGCUCUUGUCACUGAUUUUUAUGAAAAUAAUUUGCUUCCAUCUCAUUGUAAUGAUAAUUUUUGUGGGAGAAUGAGUAUAAAAUGGUUUUCCAUUUCAACAUUCACUCUCAUCAUGAAAAUAAUAUGCAAAAAUUAUGAACAAUUCAUCAUUGCUAUUGUAUAUUUUAUCAUUCUAACUAUCAUCAUCAUGAUAAUGGUUGAGCAGUAACAAUGAAUAAAACUCACGGCAAAAAGAAAGUCAAGAAUUAAUGAUUUUCAUGUUCAAAAAAACCAGGAAAAAAAAGUUGACAAAAUCAUCAAAAAUUAAGCCAUUCAAUUGUUAAUCAUUUUCGCCUUUACCCAGUUAAUUGAUUAAAAUGUUGAAUAAUGGUUACGAGGUGAGCUUCACAUUUUAAGCAUAAUAAUAUGAUUAGCUUUUGAUUAGUUUUGCUAUGAGAAAAUGUUGCUGAUUAGAUUGAAUUUUGUAAGAUUUUUUUCGCUCGUUGAAAUGAAUUUUGAUUAAACAAUCAACAGUGAACACUUUUAUUGUCAUUAUGUAUAUGUGUGUUGGUAAUUUGAAUGAUGAUUUAAGUUGAAUACUUGAAGCAAAACCAAAAAAAUAAGGCAACAAUUCAACUUUUUACAAGGAAAAAAAGGAAUUGCUUCUCCACCUUUUCCAUGAUUUUUACCUGGAAUUGAAAGAUUCAAGAAACAACCAUCCAACACACACACACACACAAGUCUAAACACAGGAAAAGGUCUUGAAACUGAUACUAUUUGGCAAUUCAAAUCAUGCUCCAUUGAAGAUAAAUAUCACACUGGGCCCGUCAUUUUGUUGAUAAAACCAUUUAUUCAAUACAAAGCAAUAUUCAGCCAGAGUAACAUGAGAGUCUGUCUUCAAGUUUGUGUAUAUUUAAAUUGUCAGAAUAUUUCACAUCUCUCAUUGUUUCAACCUUAAAAAAAGAGCAAACUAAAAGGAAAAGAUAAAUUGGAUUCAGUUUGGAGUUAAAUUUUGUUUCAUCAUUUUCAUCUAAACUUCCCAAAAGCUGGUGUGGAAAGACAUUCAUUGAACCUUCCAAAGCUCCGUCCGUGUAUUCAUCUUAACCAAGCAAUGAGUGAAUAAUAAUCUAAAGGAAUACUUCUCAUCAUUGAUUUUAGGAAAUGAUGAAAAAAGUUGAACAAAGUUUAAUAUUUCUUGAGCUCAUCAUUUUACUUCAACUUACAUCUUCCCUGCUUCAAGUCUGCUUCAAGAUUAUGGAUGAUAACUUCAGGAAUGGAGAUGAUUAAAGUAACCUAUUGAAAUAUACAUACAAAAAAUGUACAUAUAGAUGUACAAACAGAAGAUCAAUGAAAGGAGAAACAGUAAAUGAUAAUGUAAGAUGAUGAAAAGCUUGCGAUGGUGAAAGAUGAUCAAGAUGAUGAUGGUUCAAGAUGAAUACCCUUAACCAGUUGUACCUUCCUACAUAAAGACACAUAUUAUUUUGGGUACAUUUUUGGUCUUCAAUGAAAUAACCAAUUUUCCUGACUUUCUCAACUUUCUCUCUUCAUGGGACUGAAAACUGGACGAAAAAAAAAUGAUAAAAUCCAAUGGAUCCAUUAUAUUCUUAGUAAGAUGGUUAAAAGCUUUAACAUGUUAAAGGGUCCUAAUAUAAUAUUUUUUGGUUCUUAGCCUUUUCUCCUCCUCACUUGUUCUUACUGGUCUGGUUUAGUUUUUUUGUUGGUGUAACCCUUGGAAAGUACAAAACUUUACAGGUUAAUGUUAUCUAUCGGUAUUUAGAUCAUUCAUUCAAUAAUAUAUAUAUUGGUCUAUUCAGUAAUCACAAUUGAUCAAAAUGUGAACCUUAGUUUCUAUUUAUUUAGCUUUCUUGUCACUUAGUUUAACUUUAUUUCACUUGCACCUUCACCAGACAUUUCAGACUUGCAACCCAGAAUAUUAACUGCAAAAUUAAAUUCACUUCAAUCUGUUCGCACUUCCUUCACACCUUAACCACUUGCCUUCAAUAACAAUAUUGAUUUAAAUUGAACAACUGCACCUUUAUGGCCAUAAUAAUCAAACAUUAAUGCCACUUGGAAUAGAUUCAAACAUUUGUAAAACCAUUUUAAAAUUAAGUUCAGUGACA